UACAGUGAAAUGCUGAAUACAACAGGUGUAGUUGACCUUACAGUGAAAUGCUGAAUACAACAGGUGUAGUAGACCUUACAGUGAAAUGCUGAAUACAACAGGUGUAGUAGACCUCACAGUGAAAUGCUGAAUACAACAGGUGUAGUAGACCUUACAGUGAAAUGCUGAAUACAACAGGUGUAGUAGACCUUACAGUGAAAUGCUGAAUACAACAGGUGUAGUAGACCUUACAGUGAAAUGCUGAAUACAACAGGUGUAGUUGACCUUACAGUGAAAUGCUGAAUACAACAGGUGUAGUAGACCUUACAGUGAAAUGCUGAAUACAACAGGUGUAGUAGACCUUACAGUGAAAUGCUGAAUACAACAGGUGUAGUAGACCUUACAGUGAAAUGCUGAAUACAACAGGUGUAGUAGACCUUACAGUGAAAUGCUGAAUACAACAGGUGUAGUAGACCUCACAGUGAAAUGCUGAAUACAACAGGUGUAGUAGACCUUACAGUGAAAUGCUGAAUACAACAGGUGUAGUAGACCUUACAGUGAAAUGCUGAAUACAACAGGUGUAGUUGACCUCACAGUGAAAUGCUGAAUACAACAGGUGUAGU